UACGGAGGGUGCAAGCGUUAUCCGGAUUUACUGGGUUUAAAGGGUGCGUAGGUGGGCAGGUAAGUCAGUGGUGAAAUCUCCGGGCUUAACUCGGAAACUGCCAUUGAUACUAUCUGUCUUGAAUAUCCUGGAGGUAAGCGGAAUAUGUCAUGUAGCGGUGAAAUGCUUAGAUAUGACAUAGAACACCCAUUGCGAAGACAGCUUACUACGGGAUUAUUGACACUGAGGCACGAAAGCGUGGGGAUCAAACAGG
rnacentral:rRNA from 1 species